GGCCCAAUGCCACGUCUCUGAUAGCCAGAUGCAUUGACCAGAGAUGCUAUGAUUGGGCCUAAAUCAAGUCAAGUUUGAUAUUUCACAAGUUGAUAGGAACCUGUGGAUUAGAUCUUUAUUGUUCAUCCGUGGAGCCGGUUCAUGCGAUUACAUUG